GAUGAACGCUGGCGGCGUGCCUAAUACAUGCAAGUCGAGCGAACAGAUGAGGAGCUUGCUCCUCUGACGUUAGCGGCGGACGGGUGAGUAACACGUUGAUAACCUACCUAUAAGACUGGGAUAACUUCGGGAAACCGGAGCUAAUACCGGAUAAUAUAUUGAACCGCGUGGUUCAAUAGUGAAAGACGGUUUUGCUGUCACUUAUAGAUGGAUCCGCGCCGCAUUAGCUAGUUGGUAAGGUAACGGCUUACCAAGGCAACGAUGCGUAGCCGACCUGAGAGGGUGAUCGGCCACACUGGAACUGAGACACGGUCCAGACUCCUACGGGAGGCAGCAAUAGGGAAUCUUCCGCAAUGGGCGAAAGCCCGACGGAGCAACGCCGCGUGAGUGAUGAAGGUCUUCGGAUCGUAAAACUCUGUUAUUAGGGAAGAACAAAUGUGUAAGUAACUAUGCACGUCUUGACGGUACCUAAUCAGAAAGCCACGGCUAACUACGU
rnacentral:rRNA from 1 species